CUACGGGGGGCAGCAGUGGGGAAUAUUGGGCAAUGGGCGCAAGCCUGACCCAGCAACGCCGCGUGAGGGAAGAAGGUUUUCGGAUUGUAAACCUCUGUCCUUGGGGACGAAGAAGUGACGGUACCCAAGGAGGAAGCUCCGGCUAACUACGUGCCAGCAGCCGCGGUAAUACGUAGGGAGCGAGCGUUGUCCGGAAUUACUGAGCGUAAAGGGUGCGUAGGCGGCAUAUUAAGUCAGGUGUGAAAUACCCGGGCUCAACCCGGGGGGUGCAUUUGAAACUGAUACGCGUGAGUGUGAGAGAGGAAAGUGGAAUUCCUAGUGUAGCGGUGAAAUGCGUAGAUAUUAGGAGGAACACCAGUGGCGAAGGCGACUUUCUGGCUCAUAACUGACGCUGAGGCACGAAGGCGUGGGGAGCAAACAGGAUUAGAUACCCCGGUAGUC
rnacentral:rRNA from 1 species